UUUCUCCGCCGGCGACCGGCGCACGGGUGAGUAACACGUAUGCAACCUGCCCCUGUCAGGGGGACAACCCGCCGAAAGGCGGGCUAAACCCGCGUACAUGCCACCGGGGCAUCCCGGAGGCAGGAAAGGCUUCGGCCGGACAGGGAUGGGCAUGCGGCGCAUUAGGCAGUAGGCGGGGUAACGGCCCACCUAACCGACGAUGCGUAAGGGGUUCUGAGAGGAAGGUCCCCCACACUGGUACUGAGACACGGACCAGACUCCUACGGGAGGCAGCAG
rnacentral:rRNA from 1 species